GACGAACGCUGGCGGCGUGCUUAACACAUGCAAGUCGAACGGAAAGGCCCUGCUUUUGUGGGGUGCUCGAGUGGCGAACGGGUGAGUAACACGUGAGUAACCUGCCCUUGACUUUGGUAUAACUUCAGGAAACUGGGGCUAAUACCUGAUAGGAGCUCCUGCUUCAUGGUGGGGGUUGGAAAGUUUCGGCGGUUGGGGAUGGACUCGCGGCUUAUCAGCUUGUUGGUGGGGUAGUGGCUUACCAAGGCUUUGACGGGUAGCCGGCCUGAGAGGGUGACCGGCCACAUUGGGACUGAGAUACGGCCCAGACUCCUACGGGAGGAAGCAGUGGGGAAUAUUGCACAAUGGGCGGAAGCCUGAUGCAGCAAAGCCGCGUGAGGGAUGACGGCCUUCGGGUUGUAAACCGCUUUCGCCUGUGACGAAGCGUGAGUGACGGUAAUGGGUAAAGAAGCACCGGCUAACUACGUG
rnacentral:rRNA from 1 species